CCUACGGGAGGCAGCAGUGGGGAAUUUUGGGCAAUGGGCGCAAGCCUGACCCAGCGACGCCGCGUGGAGGAUGAAGGCCUUCGGGUUGUAAACUCCUGUCAGGUGGGAAGAAAUGCCUGUCGGUUAAUACCCGACAGGAGUUGACGGUACCACCAAAGGAAGCCCCGGCUAACUCCGUGCCAGCAGCCGCGGUAAUACGGAGGGGGCAAGCGUUAUUCGGAUUUACUGGGCGUAAAGCGCACGUAGGCGGCAUGGCAAGUCGCAGGUGAAAGCCCUCGGCUCAACCGAGGAACUGCCUGCGAAACUGCCUUGCUUGAGUCCGGGAGGGGGGAGCGGAAUUCCCAGUGUAGCGGUGAAAUGCGUAGAUACUGGGAGGAACACCGGUGGCGAAGGCGGCUCCCUGGACCGGUACUGACGCUGAGGUGCGAAAGCGUGGGUAGCAAACAGGAUUAGAUACCCUGGUAGUCCACGCCGUAAACGAUGGGCACUAGGUGCAGCGGGUGUCGACCCCUGCUGUGCCGAAGUUAACGCAUUAAGUGCCCCGCCUGGGGAGUACGGUCGCAAGGCUGAAACUCAAAUGAAUGACGG
rnacentral:rRNA from 1 species